CGUAUAUUAAAGUUGUUGCAGUUAAAAAGCUCGUAGUUGGAUUUGUGGCGUAUGGUGUGUUCCGGGCACUUGUUGUCUGAGUAACCUGCUGUUGCCAUCCUUGGGUGGAACCUGUGUGGCAUUAGGUUGUCGUGCAGGGGAUGCCCAUCAUUUACUGUGAAAAAAUUAGAGUGUUCAAAGCAGGCUUAUGCCGUUGAAUAUAUUAGCAUGGAAUAAUGAGAUAGGACUUUUUUACUAUUUUGUUGGUUUGCGUAAAGAGGCAAUGAUUAAUAGGGACAGUUGGGGG
rnacentral:rRNA from 1 species